rnacentral:tRNA from 1 species
GCGCCCGUAGCUCAGUCGGAUAGAGCACCAGAUUCCUAAUCUGGGGGCCACAGGUUCAAAUCCUGUCGGGUGCGCCA